rnacentral:rRNA from 1 species
GACGAAGGGGGCUAGCGUUGUUCGGAAUUACUGGGCGUAAAGCGUGUGUAGGUGGUUGUCCAAGUUGGAUGUGAAAGCCUUGAGCUCAACUCAAGAAAUGCAUUCAGGACUGGAUGGCUAGAGGACCGGAGAGGAUAGUGGAAUUCCCAGUGUAGUGGUGAAAUACGUAGAGAUUGGGAAGAACACCAGUGGCGAAGGCGGCUAUCUGGACGGUUUCUGACACUAAGACUCGAAAGCGUGGGGAGCGAACAGG